AGAGGAUAACAGGGGGCCUCAGCAGACACAUCACAGUCCCCAUCAGAUUCUGGUGAAUCCGUGAAUUUUGCU
rnacentral:sRNA from 1 species